GGUUAAGCGACUAAGCGUACACGGUGGAUGCCCUGGCAGUCAGAGGCGAUGAAGGACGUGCUAAUCUGCGAUAAGCGUCGGUAAGGUGAUAUGAACCGUUAUAACCGGCGAUUUCCGAAUGGGGAAACCCAGUGUGUUUCGACACACUAUCAUUAACUGAAUCCAUAGGUUAAUGAGGCGAACCGGGGGAACUGAAACAUCUAAGUACCCCGAGGAAAAGAAAUCAACCGAGAUUCCCCCAGUAGCGGCGAGCGAACGGGGAGGAGCCCAGAGCCUGAAUCAGUGUGUGUGUUAGUGGAAGCGUCUGGAAAGGCGCGCGAUACAGGGUGACAGCCCCGUACACAAAAAUGCACAUGCUGUGAGCUCGAUGAGUAGGGCGGGACACGUGGUAUCCUGUCUGAAUAUGGGGGGACCAUCCUCCAAGGCUAAAUACUCCUGACUGACCGAUAGUGAACCAGUACCGUGAGGGAAAGGCGAAAAGAACCCCGGCGAGGGGAGUGAAAAAGAACCUGAAACCGUGUACGUACAAGCAGUGGGAGCACAGAGCAAUCUGUGUGACUGCGUACCUUUUGUAUAAUGGGUCAGCGACUUAUAUUCUGUAGCAAGGUUAACCGAAUAGGGGAGCCGAAGGGAAACCGAGUCUUAACUGGGCGUUAAGUUGCAGGGUAUAGACCCGAAACCCGGUGAUCUAGCCAUGGGCAGGUUGAAGGUUGGGUAACACUAACUGGAGGACCGAACCGACUAAUGUUGAAAAAUUAGCGGAUGACUUGUGGCUGGGGGUGAAAGGCCAAUCAAACCGGGAGAUAGCUGGUUCUCCCCGAAAGCUAUUUAGGUAGCGCCUCGUGAAUUCAUCUCCGGGGGUAGAGCACUGUUUCGGCAAGGGGGUCAUCCCGACUUACCAACCCGAUGCAAACUGCGAAUACCGGAGAAUGUUAUCACGGGAGACACACGGCGGGUGCUAACGUCCGUCGUGAAGAGGGAAACAACCCAGACCGCCAGCUAAGGUCCCAAAGUCAUGGUUAAGUGGGAAACGAUGUGGGAAGGCCCAGACAGCCAGGAUGUUGGCUUAGAAGCAGCCAUCAUUUAAAGAAAGCGUAAUAGCUCACUGGUCGAGUCGGCCUGCGCGGAAGAUGUAACGGGGCUAAACCAUGCACCGAAGCUGCGGCAGCGACACUGUGUGUUGUUGGGUAGGGGAGCGUUCUGUGUAGCCUGUGAAGGUGUGCUGUGAGGCAUGCUGGAGGUAUCAGAAGUGCGAAUGCUGACAUAAGUAACGAUAAAGCGGGUGAAAAGCCCGCUCGCCGGAAGACCAAGGGUUCCUGUCCAACGUUAAUCGGGGCAGGGUGAGUCGACCCCUAAGGCGAGGCCGAAAGGCGUAGUCGAUGGGAAACAGGUUAAUAUUCCUGUACUUGGUGUUACUGCGAAGGGGGGACGGAGAAGGCUAUGUUGGCCGGGCGACGGUUGUCCCGGUUUAAGCGUGUAGGCUGGUUUUCCAGGCAAAUCCGGAAAAUCAAGGCUGAGGCGUGAUGACGAGGCACUACGGUGCUGAAGCAACAAAUGCCCUGCUUCCAGGAAAAGCCUCUAAGCAUCAGGUAACAUCAAAUCGUACCCCAAACCGACACAGGUGGUCAGGUAGAGAAUACCAAGGCGCUUGAGAGAACUCGGGUGAAGGAACUAGGCAAAAUGGUGCCGUAACUUCGGGAGAAGGCACGCUGAUAUGUAGGUGAAGUCCCUCGCGGAUGGAGCUGAAAUCAGUCGAAGAUACCAGCUGGCUGCAACUGUUUAUUAAAAACACAGCACUGUGCAAACACGAAAGUGGACGUAUACGGUGUGACGCCUGCCCGGUGCCGGAAGGUUAAUUGAUGGGGUCAGCGCAAGCGAAGCUCUUGAUCGAAGCCCCGGUAAACGGCGGCCGUAACUAUAACGGUCCUAAGGUAGCGAAAUUCCUUGUCGGGUAAGUUCCGACCUGCACGAAUGGCGUAAUGAUGGCCAGGCUGUCUCCACCCGAGACUCAGUGAAAUUGAACUCGCUGUGAAGAUGCAGUGUACCCGCGGCAAGACGGAAAGACCCCGUGAACCUUUACUAUAGCUUGACACUGAACAUUGAGCCUUGAUGUGUAGGAUAGGUGGGGGAGGCUUUGAAGUGUGGACGCCAGUCUGCAUGGAGCCGACCUUGAAAUACCACCCUUUAAUGUUUGAUGUUCUAACGUGGACCCGUGAUCCGGGUUGCGGACAGUGUCUGGUGGGUAGUUUGACUGGGGCGGUCUCCUCCUAAAGAGUAACGGAGGAGCACGAAGGUUGGCUAAUCCUGGUCGGACAUCAGGAGGUUAGUGCAAUGGCAUAAGCCAGCUUGACUGCGAGCGUGACGGCGCGAGCAGGUGCGAAAGCAGGUCAUAGUGAUCCGGUGGUUCUGAAUGGAAGGGCCAUCGCUCAACGGAUAAAAGGUACUCCGGGGAUAACAGGCUGAUACCGCCCAAGAGUUCAUAUCGACGGCGGUGUUUGGCACCUCGAUGUCGGCUCAUCACAUCCUGGGGCUGAAGUAGGUCCCAAGGGUAUGGCUGUUCGCCAUUUAAAGUGGUACGCGAGCUGGGUUUAGAACGUCGUGAGACAGUUCGGUCCCUAUCUGCCGUGGGCGCUGGAGAACUGAGGGGGGCUGCUCCUAGUACGAGAGGACCGGAGUGGACGCAUCACUGGUGUUCGGGUUGUCAUGCCAAUGGCACUGCCCGGUAGCUAAAUGCGGAAGAGAUAAGUGCUGAAAGCAUCUAAGCACGAAACUUGCCCCGAGAUGAGUUCUCCCUGACCCUUUAAGGGUCCUGAAGGAACGUUGAAGACGACGACGUUGAUAGGCCGGGUGUGUAAGCGCAGCGAUGCGUUGAGCUAACCGGUACUAAUGAACCGUGAGGCUUAACCUU
rnacentral:rRNA from 1 species